GCCGAUUUCCUCUUGACCGACGAGCACCCGGCCGAGUGGGCCACAAGGCCUGAGUCAUGAAAACAAGGCGACCAGCCAGCUCCUGUUGGAGACAGAUUGGGAGUCCAUUCUGCAGAUCUGCGACCUGAUCCGCCAAGGGGACACACAAGCAAAAUAUGCUGUGAAUUCCAUCAAGAAGAAAGUCAAUGACAAGAACCCACACGUCGCCUUGUAUGCCCUGGAGGUCAUGGAAUCUGUGGUAAAGAACUGUGGCCAGACAGUUCAUGAUGAGGUGGCCAACAAGCAGACCAUGGAGGAGCUGAAGGACCUGCUGAAGGU
rnacentral:lncRNA from 1 species